UGGGGAAUUUUGGACAAUGGGGGAAACCCUGAUCCAGCCAUCCCGCGUGUGCGAUGAAGGCCUUCGGGUUGUAAAGCACUUUUGGCAGGAAAGAAACGUCGCGGGUUAAUACCCCGCGGAACUGACGGUACCUGCAGAAUAAGCACCGGCUAACUACGUGCCAGCAGCCGCGGUAAUACGUAGGGUGCAAGCGUUAAUCGGAAUUACUGGGCGUAAAGCGUGCGCAGGCGGUUCGGAAAGAAAGAUGUGAAAUCCCAGAGCUUAACUUUGGAACUGCAUUUUUAACUACCGGGCUAGAGUGUGUCAGAGGGAGGUGGAAUUCCGCGUGUAGCAGUGAAAUGCGUAGAUAUGCGGAGGAACACCGAUGGCGAAGGCAGCCUCCUGGGAUAACACUGACGCUCAUGCACGAAAGCGUGGGGAGCAAACAGGAUUAGAUACCCUGGUAGUCCACGCCCUAAACGAUGUCAACUAGCUGUUGGGGUCUUCGGACCUUGGUAGCGCAGCUAACGCGUGAAGUUGACCGCCUGGGGAGUACGGUC
rnacentral:rRNA from 1 species